UAGAGAAACAUAGCCAUUGAACCCCACAUG
rnacentral:piRNA from 1 species